rnacentral:rRNA from 1 species
GACGAACGCUGGCGGCGUGCUUAACACAUGCAAGUCGAACGGUAAGGCCCUUCGGGGUACACGAGUGGCGAACGGGUGAGUAACACGUGGGUGAUCUGCCCUGCACUUCGGGAUAAGCCUGGGAAACUGGGUCUAAUACCGGAUAGGACUCCUGGCUUCAUGGUUGGGGGUGUAAAGCUUUUGCGGUGUGGGAUGGGCCCGCGGCCUAUCAGCUUGUUGGUGGGGUAAUGGCCUACCAAGGCGACGACGGGUAGCCGGCCUGAGAGGGUGACCGGCCACACUGGGACUGAGAUACGGCCCAGACUCCUACGGGAGGCAGCAGUGGGGAAUAUUGCACAAUGGGCGCAAGCCUGAUGCAGCGACGCCGCGUGAGGGAUGACGGCCUUCGGGUUGUCGAAAACCCUCUUUCAACUUAAGGGACGAAGCGCAAGUGACGGUACCUAUAGAAGAAGGACCGG